rnacentral:rRNA from 1 species
GACGAACGCUGGCGGCGUGCUUAACACAUGCAAGUCGAACGAUGAAGCGGGUGCUUGCACUCGUGGAUUAGUGGCGAACGGGCGAGUAACACGUGAGUAACCUGUCCUUUUCUUUGGGAUAACGGCUGGAAACGGCUGCUAAUACUGGAUAUUCAGGCUGCAUCGCAUGGUGUGGUUUGGAAAGGUUUUUUCUGGGAUUGGGUGGGCUCGCGGCCUAUCAGCUUGUUGGUGGGGUGAUGGCUUACCAAGGCUUUGACGGGUAGCCGGCCUGAGAGGGUGGUCGGUCGCACUGGGACUGAGAUACGGCCCAGACUCCUACGGGAGGCAGCAGUGGGGAAUAUUGCACAAUGGACGAAAGUUUGAUGCAGCGACGCCGCGUGGAGGGUGUAGGCCUUCGGGUUGUGAACUCCAUUUUCUCGCGAAAAAGGCACAGUUUUGGCUGUGUUGAUGGUAGUGGGGGAAGAAGCGCCGGCUAACUACGUG